rnacentral:rRNA from 1 species
CAGUCGCCACGGUAAUACGUAGGUGGCAAGCGUUGUCCGGAAUUAUUGGGCGUAAAGGGCUCGCAGGCGGUUUCUUAAGUCUGAUGUGAAAGCCCCCGGCUCAACCGGGGAGGGUCAUUGGAAACUGGGAAACUCGAGUGCAGAAGAGGAGAGUGGAAUUCCACGUGUAGCGGUGAAAUGCGUAGAGAUGUGGAGGAACACCAGUGGCGAAGGCGACUCUCUGGUCUGUAACUGACGCUGAGGAGCGAAAGCGUGGGGAGCGAACAGGAUUAGAUACCCGGGUAGUCCCUGUCUCUUAUAC